UACGUAGGGGGCAAGCGUUGUCCGGAAUCAUUGGGCGUAAAGAGCGUGUAGGCGGCCCGGUAAGUCCGCUGUGAAAGUCCAGGGCUCAACCCUGGGAUGCCGGUGGAUACUGUCGGGCUCGAGUCCGGAAGAGGCGAGUGGAAUUCCUGGUGUAGCGGUGAAAUGCGCAGAUAUCAGGAGGAACACCAAUGGCGAAGGCAGCUCGCUGGGACGUGACUGACGCUGAGACGCGAAAGCGUAGGGAGCAAACAGG
rnacentral:rRNA from 1 species